rnacentral:snoRNA from 1 species
GGUCAAUGAUUAUUUUGUAAGAGUAGUGGACAGAAGAGAUUUCUGAGAAAUUUUAACAAUGAGGCU